CGAAUACUUCUGUCUCUCAAUAUUAGUUCUAUGUUCUGGGUAAGUUGAUACACUUGGUUCAAUUAUUUGUCUUCUCUUCUCUUUACCCUUUCGGCAUUCUUCAAUUCCCCUUCUCCUUUGCUAGAGUCGAAUACCCUCUCAACUUCUGUGUUAGCCAAAUACUUCAUCUCAGGUUUGGAUGCUCAGUUUUUAUCUUUUCUC
rnacentral:lncRNA from 1 species